rnacentral:rRNA from 1 species
UACGUAGGGUGCGAGCGUUAAUCGGAAUGACUGGGCGUAAAGGGUGCGUAGGCGGUCUGCUAAGACGGAUGUGAAAUCCCUGGGCUCAACCUAGGAACAGCAUACGUGACUGGCAGGCUAGAGUAUCGAAGAGGGGGGUAGAAUUCCACGUGUAGCAGUGAAAUGCGUAGAGAUGUGGAGGAAUACCGAUGGCGAAGGCAGCCCCCUGGUCAGAUACUGACGCUGAGGCACGAAAGCGUGGGGAGCAAACAGG